rnacentral:rRNA from 1 species
UACGGGGGGAGCAAGCGUUGUUCGGAUUUACUGGGCGUAAAGGGCGCGUAGGCGGUCAGUGCAAGUCAGUUGUGAAAUCUCCGAGCUUAACUCGGAAAGGUCAACUGAUACUGUGCGACUAGAGUGCAGAAGGGGCAACUGGAAUUCUCGGUGUAGCGGCGAAAUGCGUAGAUAUCGAGAGGAACACCUGCGGCGAAGGCGGGUUGCUGGGCUGACACUGACGCUGAUGCGCGAAAGCCAGGGGAGCGAACGGG